CUCAACAACAAAUAAACUUGGGAGAAAAACUUUCCAUUCUAAAAAAAUUUUUUAACGUUUAUUUAUUUUUUGAGAGACAGAGCAUGAACUGGGAAAGGAACAGAGAGAGAAGGGAAGUCACAGAUUCUGAAGCAGGCUCCAGGCUCUGAGCUGUCAGCACAGAGCCGGAUGCGGGGCUUGAACCCAUGAACCAUGAGAUCAUGACCUCAGCCAAAGUCAGCCUUCUAACAAACUGAGCCAACCAGGCACCCCAAAAACUUUCCAUUCUGACUUUUGUUUCUCCAUGGAUAAUGAUUUCUUCUUCAGCAUAUGGGGACUAAGUGAUAUUCUUAAACAUUGGUACAUACAUAAAUAAGUAUGCAUUAUUUUUCUUGAGAAUAAAAAUAUGAAGAACAAUUAAGAAAUAAAAGCAAUAUUUAUGAGUAAUUUACAGAAAGUCCUAUUAUUGUGCAACUAGUUUAUAUCUGUUUUUUGUUGUUGUGUAAGUAUGCAAUGGAGUAUUUACCACGUUAUCUUGACUGCACCCAUGCUAGGGCUUAGGUGCAGUCAAGGUAGUGAUCCUAUGUGGUCCUUUGCAUGAACAAGUGGACAGAUGGAUUGAAGAAACUUCUGAGAAAAAGUCUCUGGAAAUGGAAGUUCUGAAUACAGCUGAAGCUAAAAGUUGAUCUGACCCAGCUCCUCUGGGAAAAGCCAUCAACUCCAGAAGUAGGAAGGGUCAUCUUCUGUCAGAGGAGGUGCCACAUGGGUUUCUGGCUAAAAGCACCUCCCUACUGGUUCUAUGAAACACUCCAGGUUCCUAUUGUAUAUUUCCUCCCCAGUCCUAGACACAACCACUUCUCCAAGAGACUCUGGGCCUUCUACUGGACAAUGAUAAUAGAAAAUAACAACUGGGUGCUGGGUAUGCUGUUGUUACAGGAUCAUCUGACAGAGAAAAGAAAUGUAUGUAUAUAUACAUAAACAUAUGACUUUUUCUUUAUGUCACCAUCUACAUCUAUAUUAAA